CAAAUUAUUUUUGAAAAAGUGUCU
rnacentral:siRNA from 1 species